ACUGCCAUUGAUACUGAUAGCCUUGAGUUUGGUUAAGGUAGGCGGAAUGUGUAAUGUAGCGGUGAAAUGCUUAGAUAUUACACAGAACACCAAUUGCGUAGGCAGCUUACUGAGCCGACACUGACGCUGAGGCACGAAAGCGUGGGGAUCGAACAGGAUUAGAUACCCUGGUAGUCCACGCCGUAAACGAUGAUUACUCGCUGUUGGCGAUACACUGUCAGCGGCUAAGCAAAAGCAAUAAGUAAUCCACCUGGGGAGUACGGCCGCAAGGUUGAAACUCAAAGGAAUUGACGGGGGCCCGCACAAGCGGAGGAACAUGUGGUUUAAUUCGAUGAUACGCGAGGAACCUUACCUGGGCUUAAAUGUAGAGUGCAUUUUCUAGAGAUAGGAAUUCCCUUCGGGGCUUUCUGCAAGGUGCUGCAUGGUUGUCGUCAGCUCGUGCCGUGAGGUGUCGGGUUAAGUCCCAUAACGAGCGCAACCCUUAUCGUUAGUUGCCAUCUGGUAAAGCAGGGGACUCUAGCGAAACUGCCACCGUAAGUGAGAGGAAGUGGGGAUGACGUCAAAUCAGCACGGCCCUUAUGUCCAGGGCUACACACGUGUUACAAUGGUUCGGUACAGAGGGCAGCUACCUGGUGACAGGAUGCUAAUCUUCGAAAACCGGUCUCAGUUCGGAUCGAAGUUCUGCAACUCGA
rnacentral:rRNA from 1 species